GGAUGUGUGAUGUGACAUCUGCCAUCCCGCUGAUCACAGGAUCCAGCUGAUUUUGCCCAUCCCCUUCCUCCCUCACCUCUCCAUGUGUGUCCCUCCCAAAGCUGUGCCUUCGGUCGAAGAGCACGACCUUCCCCUGAUAGAGGAGGAUCGUUCUUUAGUCCAGGGCAUAGGAGUAGCUGUGCUCUCCUGCUAGAAUCUCCAAACAAGCUCUCAAGGUCCAUUUGUAGGAGCACAUAGGGUAGUCAAGCUUCCAAGGCUCUAGGUACAUCCAAAUGAGGUGUUGCAUGUGGCAGUCUGCCUUUCUUU
ensembl:misc_RNA 7SK 7SK RNA